UUCCGGUUGAUCCUGCCGGACCCGACUGCUAUCGGAUUGAGAUUUAGCCAUGCGAGUCGAACGUCCCCCUGUUGCGGGGGGCGUGGCAUACGGCUCAGUAACACGUAGUCAACCUGCCCUGGAGACAUGGACAACCCCGGGAAACUGGGAUUAAUCCGUGAUAGGUCAUCUCAUCUGGAAGGAGAGAUGGCUUAAAGGGGUACGCGGGCUUCUUCCGCGAAUUCGCUCCAGGAUGGGACUGCGUCCGAUCAGGCUGUUGGCGGGGUAAUGGCCCACCAAACCUGUAACCGGUACGGGCCUUGAGAGAGGUGGCCCGGAGAUGGACACUGAGAGAAGGGUCCAGGUCCUACGGGGCGCAGCAGGCGCGAAACCUUCGCAAUGCGCGAAAGCGUGACGAGGUUAAUCCGAGUGGCCCCCGCUGAGGGGGUCUUUUGUCAGCUGUAAAUAGGCAGGCGAAUAAGGGGAGGGCAAGCCUGGUGUCAGCCGCCGCGGUAAUACCAGCUCCUCGAGUGGUCGGGGCGAUUAUUGGGCCUAAAGCAUCCGUAGCCGGUUCCGUAGGUCCUCUGUUAAAUCCAACCCGCCUUAACGGUUGAACCUGCAGAAGGAUUCCCGCGGGGACUUAGGAAGGCGGGAAAAGGCGGACCGGUACCUCCCCGCGUGGUAGGGGUAAAAAUCCUUUGAUACCCCGGAAAAAACCACCCAUGGGCGAAAGGGCGGUCCCCCAAAACGCGCUUCUAAGGGUGAAGGGAUUAAAAGCUGGGGGGGACCAAACCCGG
rnacentral:rRNA from 1 species